rnacentral:misc_RNA from 1 species
GUGAGUCAUCGAAUCUUUGAACGCAUAUUGCGCCCUCUGGUAUUCUGGAGGGCAUGCCUGUCCGAGCGUCAUUACUACCUUCAAGCACAGCUUGUUUGUUGAGCCAAUUGUCCCCCUUUAAUGGGACAGGCUUGAAAUACAGUGGCGAUGCCGAGUUUUGGUGCCCGAGCGUAUGGAGCUUUGUCACACGCUUUUGUGGCCCAGCCGGCAUUCUGUCGACCUUGUGAUUUACCUAAGAUUUAACCUCGGAUCAGGUAGGAAUACCCGCUGAACUUAAGCAUAUCAAUAAGCGGAGGA